rnacentral:other from 3 species
AAGUUAAAUAAAGUCCUGAUGUGUUAGUUGUACACCUAGUUUUGACCGAACAUUUUUUUGAUUUGGGAGCCCGCAUUUUUAAAUGGCGUACAUGCCUCUUUUCAUUCGGUAAAGAGGACUUACAAGAUUUAAAAGAGGGCACCCACCUGCUGAGAGCGGGUUCAAAACAAAGGAAAGCUGCAACGGCACUAUUGGGACUUU